rnacentral:rRNA from 1 species
UGCGUAGGUGGUUAUUUAAGUCCGUUGUGAAAGCCCUGGGCUCAACCUGGGAACUGCAGUGGAAACUGGACGACUAGAGUGUGGUAGAGGGUAGCGGAAUUCCUGGUGUAGCAGUGAAAUGCGUAGAGAUCAGGAGGAACAUCCAUGGCGAAGGCAGCUACCUGGACCAACACUGACACUGAGGCACGAAAGCGUGAGGAGCAAACA